AACGUAGGAGACAAACGUUAUCCGGAGUUACUGGGCGUAAAGCGCGUGUAGGCGGCCCAACUAAGUCGGGCGUGAAAUCCCACGGCUCAACCGUGGAAGUGCACUCGAAACUGGAUGGCUAGAGUCCUGGAGAGGAAGGUGGAAUGCUUGGUGUAGAGGUGAAAUUCGUAGAUAUCAAGCGGAACACCGGUGGCGAAGGCGGCCUCUGGACAGUGACUGACGCUGAGACGGGCGAA
rnacentral:rRNA from 1 species